rnacentral:rRNA from 1 species
UACAGAGGUCUCAAGCGUUGUUCGGAUUCAUUGGGCGUAAAGGGCGCGUAGGCUGCGGGGCAAGUCGGGUGUGAAAUCUCAGAGCUCAACUCUGAAACUGCACUCGAUACUGCUUUGCUUGAGGACUGGAGAGGAGAUUGGAAUUCACGGUGUAGCAGUAGAAAUGCGUAGAUAUCGUGAGGAAGACCAGUGGCGAAGGCGGAUCUCUGGACAGUUCCUGACGCUGAGGCGACGGAAG